rnacentral:rRNA from 1 species
CNUGGGGANUUGGACAUGGGCGCAAGCNNGAUCCAGCCAUGCCGCGUGAGUGAUGAAGGCCUUAGGGUUGUAAAGCUCUUUCACCGAUGAAGAUAAUGACGGUAGUCGGAGAAGAAGCCCCGGCUAACUUCGUGCCAGCAGCCGCGGUAAUACGAAGGGGGCUAGCGUUGUUCGGAAUUACUGGGCGUAAAGCGCACGUAGGCGGAUAUUUAAGUCAGGGGUGAAAUCCCGCAGCUCAACUGCGGAACUGCCUUUGAUACUGGGUAUCUUGAGUAUGGAAGAGGUAAGUGGAAUUCCGAGUGUAGAGGUGAAAUUCGUAGAUAUUCGGAGGAACACCAGUGGCGAAGGCGGCUUACUGGUCCAUUACUGACGCUGANGUGCGAAAGCGUGGGGAGCAACAGGAUUAGAUACCCUGGUAGUCCNCGCCGUAACGAUGAUGUUAGCCGUCGGGCAUUUACUGU